AACAGGUACUCUCCUGUGUUCCAAAGGUGGUCCUGGAUGGGCUGAAAGGGAAUGACACCGGACCAAUAGUAAAUCCCGAAAAUGACAGAUUUACAGCUUCACAAACUGAUCUCGAGUCACAAGCUGUUGCAGAUGAAGAGGUAGUAUCCAAACCAAAGAAAAAAAAGCAGAAGACCAGUGUUGAAUCAUGCCAAUGCUCUGCAGAACUGCUUGAAAUUCAAAAGAAACUUCUUGAAGAGGCUGUGAGAAGUAAUGCAUUGAAUCAGGAGAGAAAC